rnacentral:rRNA from 1 species
UGAAGCUGGAUUCGCUAGUAAUCGCGCAUCAGCCACGGCGCGGUGAAUACGUUCCCGGGCCUUGUACACACCGCCCGUCAAGCCAUGGAAGCCGGGAGUGCCUGAAGUGCGUGAGCGCAAGCAGCGCCCUAAAGGUAAAACCGGUGACUGGGGCUAAGUCGUAACAAGGUACC